CCCCGCCAGGCGGCCCCAGCGGAAAACUUGAAAGGGACUCUGUUUGCCAGCCGCCCGGGGCGGCUCCGGCGGGGGCGAGGGCCGAACGAUCACACAAGCCCCCCUCCCCAGCGCUUCCUGAGCAAGCGCGGGGGGUGGGGGGGGCCCACCACAAAACCGAGGACUCCGAACAGCGCCCGCCGCUCGGGGAAAGGCGGAGGUCAAGAGGCUGGCUCGCGGGAUCCCGGUUCAGCUCUCCCCCAACGCGAAGAUGCGACUCGAAGACCACCCAGGAUCCAGGGGGCAAAGUAGGGCGCGGCUGCCAGCCCUUCAGACCCCCGUCUCAGUUGGAGGAAGGUGUGGGUCUUUCCGGAUGAGUCCCUUACAGAACCCCCCAAAUCUGCUGCUGCCUCCUUGCAGCCCAUGGCACCAGCCCAACUCCGCGCACCCCUUACGAGCUGGGGGGGGGGGGGGGAAGCUAUCUUGCUCCCUCACUAGGCGCUUCAGCUUUUCUGACAGAUCCCGGAGGCAGCCCCCCAUUUAUAAACUGGGGUCACUCACUUUCUGUCGAUCCUACAAAUAAACAAAGCCAGGCGCACCCCGCGCUCCCCGCCGGAAAGCAGCCCAUUCCGGGAGAGGACAACUUCCCCCAGCAAGAAAAUUAACACAUUCUUCUCGCGGUGGUUCAGCCCCUCGCUCUAGGGAAGCAAAGGGGAGGGGGGCUUGGGGCCGAACUUCAUGGGUAAAUUUGGGGCCAGUGCAGCGAAGCAGGCGCCUGGGACACCCGCCUCCCACACUCCGCAGCUAGAGGAACACCCCCAUUCUCCCUCCCUGGCUUUGCACGCUGCUUGGCCACGCGGGGCUCGGGAGACUGAAAGAUUCCCCAAGGCUAGUGAGGACGGGAAAGAGAGGCCGCGGGGAGCGGAGGUGGGGGGGGGGGGGUGAUAGUUUGACGGAAAAAAAAAAAAAAGGUCAAACUUGAUCAGCCCGCCAGGCACCCCGCGGGCAGCGGGGGCGAGGAACCGGAGGGAAAAUGUAGAAGUGGCCGCCGCCCCCUCCAAGUGGGGGGGGGGGGGAGAGACUCAGCCACGCGUGGUCCAGGGCAGCAGUUACCGUAGCCCCCAAAACACAGGGCUGCGAGGGGUCCGACGGGGGGAGUGUGCGCCGCAGAUCUCCAAUCAGCCGCCCCCGCAGGCGGAGCGCCCGCCCAACACCGAGAGUGAUCUGCGACCGAGCCGACUGCGGCUUGGGGAGGCUUGGGUAUAGCAGCGGCCACCGAGCGAUCACCGGCGCUAGGGCUCCCGGGCUCCAGGGCUCCGUGGCUCAGGCUGCGGGCGCCCCCCGCCCCUCCCAAACACGGACCCCUCCUUCCCCGUCCCUGGCUCUCCGCACCUGAACUUCGGGGGAGCCCGCGCCGCCAAACUUUCCGCCGACUUGCAGCGAACUCCGGCCCCGGCCGCGCACCGGGCCCCGGGGGAGGAGAGGGAGAAUCUCUACACCCAGCAUGGGGCUUGAACUCGCAACCCGGCAAUCAAGAGUCGCAUGCUCUUUCCACUGAGCCAGCCAGCUGCCCCACCUGAGGAACACCCUUUUGAAGGCAGAUCAUGGACUGUCUUUCAGUGUCGCUACUCUCUUUACCAGGCAACAACCCAUCCUGGCAACAGAACGGGAUCAAGAGCCCGAGCACGUAACGAGUCCACACAGCACUACAGGUGGCACCUCAGCGGAUAAGACACAGAUGCAGCUACAUCACAUCCCCAAACGUGAGUAUAAUGUGGCACAGUCAACAAACACUGCGGCACAGGCAGAAUAGCGUGAACUCACAGGGUUCGGACAGGACGGGCAAAGCACAGGGCCAGGCAGGGCGUGAGCACUCGAAACAAAGAGGGUCCUAGGAGCAUUAAUAGUUACGAGUAUGGCCUAUCAAUAUAAUGACUGUAACUAUUUAAUAGUAGCUCACGCUCUCCAGAUAGGUCCGUUCCUCUCCAGGAACCUGAUUCACCCCAGCAACCAAACUUGUUCUGCCAUUACACACACCUGGGAAACACCACUCAAGUGUCACAAACACAACUAACACUGCUACACUCAGUCACAACAGGGGCCACACAUUAUCACUUC